rnacentral:rRNA from 1 species
AUGGCUCCUACCGAGGCUGAGGCUGAUGUAGAGGAGGGAGAAGAGAAGAAGAAGAAGGAAAGGAAAGCAGCCAGAGCUGCUUUCACGUGGAUUCAAACUCACUUUGCGACGUGCCCUCCGGAUGCCACUGAUGACGUGAUCCAGACACAUGCUCGUGUCUACAUGUGGUAUGUUGUGUCGAGGACUUUGUUUCCUGACUCCACUGGCAAGAACGCUCCAUGGAUGUGGCUGAAGGCGUUGAUCGUCUUCGAAAGCAAAUGGAGCUGGGGUUCAGCGACUCUUGCCUACUUGUACCGACAGGUAGUUGGUCUGUUUUGUGAUCAACUCAUUUCUUCAUUAGCAUUGCAAGCUUGCUGUCAAGUUAACAUUGUUUUUCUUUCAUAUGCAGCUGGACGAUGCGUGUUGCAGGAUCACAGAUAG